AUUUUACUGCCAAACACACAUGGACCUAUUACAGAAAAAUAAUGGUUUCGAAUAUCAUGGGGAAAGGAGACAACAUAUCUCUGCUUCUCUGUUUUUUUCUCCUUUGUAUCUUCUUCUCUUAGAUUAAAUGCAUUCUUGAAAGAAUAUUCAAUGCGUUUCUCAUUAUGUCCAAACUCCAAACUGUCCCAUUUCAUAAAUUAUGCACACAAUUGUCGAUGAGAAGCCUCAAUCACAUUUGCUUCGCAUUAUUGUGAGACUAAUAAUUAAGCUUAUUUACUAUUAUUAUAUACAGUAUUCAACAAGUAUAUAUCACAUGG
rnacentral:lncRNA from 1 species